AAAAAUUUUCCACGUCCUCCAGUUGAAGUCCCUUCUACUUUUUCAUGAAGUCAGGUGCAUCUGGAGAAGUGCUUUUCUCCUGCUGCUAUGCAGAUCAGCCAAAAACUAUACAUACGAAAUCUCAGAGAAAUGGAUGAAGUUAAGAAGAUACUCAAGUCUCAGUGAGUAGUAAACACUAUAACGUGAUGGAAAGCACAGCAAUAGCAGCAGGGUGGCAACAUCUUCGACUGCAGCAAGCACCAAUGCAGCAGCCAUGGACACAGAAAUGAAGUAAAAGAGCUGCUUACCUUUGAAAGACCUCAAGCACACAAGAGAUCUCCAGAGAGAUCCCCUUACCUCCAAUGCCAACCCUUAAAUGAGGUCUGGGAAGGGACGGAUCCUGACUCCACCCCUUCUGGUCACUGAGGUGCACUGCAUGCAGCUGAGCUCCCCUAGGUUGACCCUGCCUUCCCACCAGGUGCUCAAUCAUUGCUUCAAGCUGUGACAGCAUUUCCACUACAGCAUCCCAAAACAACUUCCUGAAGCAGUAGGUUCCAAAGCA
ensembl:lncRNA